GAUGAACGCUGGCGGCGUGCCUAAUACAUGCAAGUCGAGCGAACAGACGAGGAGCUUGCUCCUCUAACGUUAGCGGCGGACGGGUGAGUAACACGUGGAUAACCUACCUAUAAGACUGGGAUAACUUCGGGAAACCGGAGCUAAUACCGGAUAAUAUAUUGAACCGCAUGGUUCAAUAGUGAAAGACGGUUUUGCUGUCACUAUAGAUGGAUCCGCGCCGCAUUAGCUAGUUGGUAAGGUAACAGCUUACCAAGGCAACGAUGCGUAGCCGACCUGAGAGGGUGAUCGGCCACACUGGAACUGAGACACGGUCCAGACUCCUACGGGAGGCAGCAGUAGGGAAUCUUCCGCAAUGGGCGAAAGCCUGACGGAGCAACGCCGCGUGAGUGAUGAAGGUCUUCGGAUCGUAAAACUCUGUUAUUAGGGAAGAACAAAUGUGUAAGUAACUAUGCACGUCUUGACGGUACCUAAUCAGAAAGCCACGGCUAACUACGUG
rnacentral:rRNA from 1 species